GUGAGGAAUAUUGCGCAAUGGAGGCAACUCUGACGCAGCCAUGCCGCGUGCAGGAAGAAGGCGCUACGCGUUGUAAACUGCUUUUAACCGGGAAGAAACCCCAGGACGUGUCCUGGGUUGACGGUACCGGAGGAAUAAGCACCGGCUAACUUCGUGCCAGCCGCCGCGGUAAUACGAAGGGUGCAAGCGUUAUCCGGAUUCAUUGGGUUUAAAGGGUGCGUAGGCGGAGCGUUAAGUCAGUGGUGAAAUCCUGCAGCUUAACUGUAGACUUGCCAUUGAUACUGUCGCUCUUGAGUGCGCUUGAAGUGGGCGGAAUGUGCCGUGUAGCGGUGAAAUGCUUAGAUAUGGCACAGAACACCAAUUGCGAAGGCAGCUCACUAAGGCGAUACUGACGCUGAGGCACGAAAGCGUGGGGAUCGAACAGGAUUAGAAACCCCAGUAGUCC
rnacentral:rRNA from 1 species